rnacentral:rRNA from 1 species
UGGGGAAUAUUGCACAAUGGGCGCAAGCCUGAUGCAGCCAUGCCGCGUGUGUGAAGAAGGCCUUCGGGUUGUAAAGCACUUUCAGCGAGGAGGAAGGUGGUGAACUUAAUACGUUCAUCAAUUGACGUUACUCGCAGAAGAAGCACCGGCUAACUCCGUGCCAGCAGCCGCGGUAAUACGGAGGGUGCAAGCGUUAAUCGGAAUUACUGGGCGUAAAGCGCACGCAGGCGGUUUGUUAAGUCAGAUGUGAAAUCCCCGGGCUCAACCUGGGAACUGCAUUUGAAACUGGCAAGCUAGAGUCUCGUAGAGGGGGGUAGAAUUCCAGGUGUAGCGGUGAAAUGCGUAGAGAUCUGGAGGAAUACCGGUGGCGAAGGCGGCCCCCUGGACGAAGACUGACGCUCAGGUGCGAAAGCGUGGGGAGCAAACAGGAUUAGAUACCCCUGGUAGUCCACGCUGUAAACGAUGUCGAUUUUGGAGGUUGUG